rnacentral:miRNA from 1 species
AGGGUUGCGUGUGGACAUCUGC